rnacentral:tRNA from 1 species
GAGGGGAUAGCUCAGUGCUAGAGUGUGUGCUUAGCAUGCACAGGGUCCUGGAUUCAAUCCCCGGUACAUCCA